rnacentral:RNase_P_RNA from 1 species
UGAGUAUAAAAGAUGAUCGCGGAUGUCUUUUCAGACAUUUGAGGAAAGUCCGGGCUCCACAGGGCAAGGUGCUGGAUAACGUCCAGCGAGGGCGACCUCAGGGAAAGUGCCACAGAAAUGUAAACCGCCGGUUUUUGCCGGUAAGGAUGGAACGGUGCGGUAAGAGCGCACCAGCAGUUAGGUGACUAACUGGCUAGGUAAACCCCACCUGGUGCAAGACCAAAUAGGGAAGGGAUGAGGCUGCCCGCUAACCUUCCGGGUGUGUCGCUAGAGCCGUCAGGUAACUGACGGUCCAGAUAAAUGAUCAUCACCGCUUUUGCGGUACAGAACUCGGCUUAUUGAUUACUUGCAAC